rnacentral:rRNA from 1 species
UACGUAGGGGGCAAGCGUUUGUCCGGAAUUAUUGGGCGUAAAGAGCGCGUAGGCGGUCCGGUAAGUCGGCUGUGAAAGUCAAGGGCUCAACCCUUGAAAGCCGGCCGAUACUGUCGGACUAGAGUCCGGAAGAGGCGAGUGGAAUUCCUGGUGUAGCGGUGGAAUGCGCAGAUAUCUGGAGGAAUACCGGUGGCGAAGGCGGCAUCCUGGACCGACAUUGACGCUG